rnacentral:rRNA from 1 species
AACGAACGCUGGCGGCAGGCCUAACACAUGCAAGUCGAACGCUGUAGCAAUACAGAGUGGCAGACGGGUGAGUAACGCGUGGGAACGUGCCUUUCGGUUCGGAAUAACUCAGGGAAACUUGAGCUAAUACCGGAUACGCCCUUAGGGGGAAAGAUUUAUUGCCGAAAGAUCGGCCCGCGUCCGAUUAGCUAGUUGGUGUGGUAAUGGCGCACCAAGGCGACGAUCGGUAGCUGGUCUGAGAGGAUGAUCAGCCACACUGGGACUGAGACACGGCCCAGACUCCUAUGGGAGGCAGCAGAGGGGAAUAUUGGACAAUGGGCGCAAGCCUGAUCCAGCCAUGCCGCGUGAGUGAUGAAGGCCCUAGGGUUGUAAAGCUCUUUCGCCAGGGACGAUAAUGACGGUACCUGGAUAAGAAGCCCCGGCUAACUUCGUGCCAGCCGCCGCAGUAAAAC